CCUGGAGGGAGGGGAGAGAGACACCAAUGAUCUUCUCUGCUGCUUUCACUAUGUGUUGAAGAGUCUUCUCUGUAGAAGGUGUACAUGAUGGGGGGUAGGGCUCUGGCUCUCCUCAGUUUGCGGAGGAAGUAGAGACGCUGCUGUGCUUUCUUGGCAAGUGCUGCGGUGUUGUCGGUCCAGGAGAGGUCCUCUGUGAUGUGUACACCCAGGAACUUGGUGCUGCUCACUCUCUCCACAGUCGCACCAUUGAUGGUCAGAGGAGCAUGCUAAGUGUGCACUCUCCUGAAGUCAACAACAAUCUCCUUUGUCUUCUCCAUGUUCAGAGAGAGACUGUUGUCACUGCACCACCCGGCCAGGCGGUUCACCUCGCUCCUGUAGUUUGUCUCAUCUCUGUUGCUAAUGAGACCCACCACAGUCAUGUCAUCCCCAAACUUAAUAAAGAGGUUGGAGUUGUGUGACGGUAUGCAGUCGUGGGUCAGAGGAGGGGUCUCAGCACACAUUCUUGGGGGGCCCCAGUGUUCAGUGUGAUGAUGUUGCUGUCACAGGUCCGCAGUGGGGGCUUGUAGUCUGUAAUGGUCUGUAUCCCCUGCCGCAGGCUCCGAGUGUCUCUGCUGUCGCUGAAACGAUGGGCUAUCCUCCUGGAGUACUGUCUCUUAGCCUGUCUGAUGGGGCAGCUGUGGCCUAAUGGUCAGAGAUUUGGACUUGUAACCAGAAGGUCGCAGGUUCGAAUCUCGGUGCUGGCAGGAGUUGUAGGUGGGAGGGAGUGAAUGAACAGCGCUCUCUUCCACCCUCAAUACCCAUGGCUGAAGUGCCCUUGAGCAAGGCACUGAACCCCCAGUUGCUCCCCGGGUGCUGGAUAUAGCUGCCCACUGCUCCGGGUGUGUGUUCACGGUGUGUUCACUUCUCACUGUUGUGUGUGUGCACUUGGAUGGGUUAAAUGCAGAGCACCAAUUUCGAGUAUGGGUUACCAUACUUGACAAAUGUCACGACUUUCACUUUCACUUGAUGCCGUGGGAUAGGUUGGCCCUUGCUGUCCUCAGGCCCACCUCAUCUCCAGCUUUGAAGGCAGCGUUCCCCAUCUUCAGGUGUCUGUAGACCUCCC
ensembl:lncRNA